rnacentral:rRNA from 1 species
UACGUAGGGGGCAAGCGUUAUCCGGAUUUACUGGGCAUAAAGGGCGCGUAGGUGGUGUUUUAAGUCAGGUGUUAAAGCCCUCAGCUUAACUGAGGUACGCACUUGAUACUGAAAUACUAGAGUACAGGAGAGGGAAGCGGAACCCAUGGUGUAGCUGUGAAAUGCGUAGAUAUCAUGGGGAACACCAGUUGCCAAGGCGGCUUCCUGGACUGUUACUGACACUGAGGCCCGCAAGCGUGGGGAGCAAACAGG